AUGAACGCUGGCGGCGUGCCUAAUACAUGCCAGUCGAGCGAACAGACGAGGAGCUUGCUCCUCUGACGUUAGCGGCGGACGGGUGAGUAACACGUUGAUAACCUACCUAUAAGACUGGGAUAACUUCGGGAAACCGGAGCUAAUACCGGAUAAUAUAUUGAACCGCAUGGUUCAAUAGUUAAAGACGGUUUUGCUGUCACUUAUAGAUGGAUCCGCGCCGCAUUAGCUAGUUGGUAAGGUAACGGCUUACCAAGGCAACGAUGCGUAGCCGACCUGAGAGGGUGAUCGGCCACACUGGAACUGAGACACGGUCCAGACUCCUACGGGAGGCAGCAGUAGGGAAUCUUCCGCAAUGGGCGAAAGCCUGACGGAGCAACGCCGCGUGAGUGAUGAAGGUCUUCGGAUCGUAAAACUCUGUUAUUAGGGAAGAACAAAUGUGUAAGUAACUAUGCACGUCUUGACGGUACCUAAUCAGAAAGCCACGGCUAACUACGUG
rnacentral:rRNA from 1 species